UGCAGUCAGCCACCGCCUUAGUUCUAGGGUGGCUAAUGGGGUACAAGCUCUUCCUCGUCCUUCGCUCCCAAACUAUUCCAGGUCCCAUUUGUAAUGGAAGCACAGAUCAAAGAUCUUAACAAGAGAGAAGAACCAGUUUUCAAUUCCUCGAUGCCUUUGUGAGACUCCAGCUCUUGUCUUGCACAAUUACGAGGAGGAAUGUUUUGUGGGCACACUGAGAUGAGCUGAAGACACCUUGGAAGCACGUGGCCCCCUGGAGGCGGGGCUGGGAGCCAGGGCGGCAAAGGGCACAGAGCCUGUCUUCAACAGGAACUGCUGCAUUUCCCAAAAAUUCCCCUUGCUGCCCUAAAACCAGAUUAACGGAGAGCCCUCCAGACAGCUGACCACGUCACCAGCCGCGAAGGGGCUCAAGCAUCACAAGAAUAAAUUGAGAACAUUCUGCUGCAACUCAGAUAUUCAUGGGACUCCUGACAUUGCGGGUAAAGAAAGUGGUUUCUUAUCCCAUUCACUGAAUGUAAUUUAUUUCCCCUUGAAACAAAAAGACCUAAUUAAAAACAAAAACAAAAAACUAAUCUUGUGCCAUCCCCCACUCAAAGGCCCCCAAGUC